UGGGGGAAAUAUAGAGAGGACUAAAGAAGUGAUCAUCAAGAACCACCACUUUCUCCCAAGACUCCUUCUUCUUCAUCCAAAUAUCCAAGCAACUCGAAUCCUCCACCAGUAAUAUACCAUAAGGCAUUCCCCAAUAACCUCAAUACCUUGCCACCUGCAGCACUCCGAGCACUCGGGCAGCUCCACGGCCGCCCCCAACGCCUCUCUCUUCAAGUCGCAAGCAACCACGCCUCGUCUAUCAGUCGUCUCCCAAUGAAGACUCCCACUUGCAAAUACCCCCAUUUCACAUUUUCCAUACCUACUACGAUCCUCCUUCUUACAUGAAUCCCAAUCCUUCACUUCUCUGAUUCCUUCCAUGAAUCACUC
rnacentral:lncRNA from 1 species